UAACCAAUAGUUUUCAAUAAAUAUAAUUAAUUAAUGCAUUUUUUGAAACUAUUUAUUUUAUAAAACUCAAACUUCUAUUUUAACGGAGGGAGAAUUCUCUUUUAUUGAGUAUAUUGUUAACUUUUUGAACUUUGGCAUGGGUAUCCGAGCCAUACGUGCAAGUCGGUGGUGACUUUUAUGAGGAUAUACCAUUGAGGUAACGAACUCUACUCUUACUUUUAUGACUAUCAUUCAACCAAACACUAGACAACGAGCAUUUAGCGAAGUUAUGACGUACAACACUAAAAUUGUUACUAUGUUAUUAGUUACCUAAACGUUCGUAUAACAGUAAAUAUUGUAUAUGCUGAGUUCUAUAUACAUGCAUUAUCUAAUUUUAAAACACAAUUAUAAGAGACAAAUUAAUGAUUUCCUAGGUCAAGAAGACAAGAGCUAUGAUUAGGAUAUCCAUUUGAUAAUGUAAUUAUAGAUCAUAAAUAAUCUUCCAUCCAAUUCUGUUUGCCAUGAUUAUGUUUUGCGAUCAUAUUUUCUGAAGUCAAACUAAAACAUAUAUAUCCAUCCCCACAUAAACAAAAAGACCUAACUCUUGCACUAAAUUAACAAAAUAAAAAUUACGCCGUGUUGCUUUUUCUUCGUUUUAUUAACAAAAGGCUGAGUGUUGUGUUCAAAAAAAAAAAACAAAAAGGCUGAGUGUUGCUUUUUAUUCGUUUUGUUGUAAACCAAUUUAACUAUAUAUAUUUGGCUACAUAACAUAACGUAUUCAUGUAAGAAACUACUUUUUUUGCAUUUACAAAAAAAAUAAAGAAUAUUUUAGUUAUUGUGAUUUAAUCAAAGUAAUUUUAAAAUUUAUAGUUGAAAACCUCCACUGGAUUUAAGUUUUUCAAAUACAGACGAAAGUAACUACUAUUUCCACUAAAAAGAGAGAUAAAAUGAUAAAUGAUAUAUACAUUAAUUAGCUUUAGGAAAGAAAAAAGCUUGUUUCCAUAAAAUCACUAUUUGCAUUAGACUUAUGAACACAAAACUGUACGGAAAGAACAAGUUUUUUUUUUUUUUGGUAAUCAGGAAAGAACAAGUUUAACCUUAAUUUGAAUUUUAUGUUGAUUAGAAGAGUCUCCUAGCCGUCCAUACGUUUAGUCUAGAGGAUUCUUGUGUUGCUUUCCAAUACUUUAUUCAAAGUUUGACAGUUGCAUAUUCAAAGUCCGUGUUGCCCCCUUGAAGCUUAGCUCCUUGAGAACUCAAAGCUGGUUAUAGUCAUAUCACCUUGUAUAACUGUAGGUACAGAGAGAGGAGCUUGUAAAAGUUUGGACAUAAUACGAGGUUGAUGUCUGAGUGUUCGUUUUCUUUUGUCCAUCUUUCAUAUGGAUGUGUGGUGUUGAUAAAGUCUGAGUUUGAUAUAUUUUAGUGAAAUACUUAUACAUGUUCAUGUGUCAUAUCUUGAAUCUUUUAUGGUGUGAUUCGAAAUUGGAGUGACAUCUAUUUUCCCCCUUUUCUAGUAUUUUAAUCAUGCUGGCUACUAAGUGAUGCGAUUUUCUUUUGUGCAGGAAGCUAAUCUCGACGCUGGAGAAUCAGGGAACCAUGCAUGACAAGGUCUACCAAUUAACAAAGCAUGAGUUUUCAAGCCCAGGACGUGGAAAGUCUAGAGGUGUACAUGCUUCAACACUUAAUCUCACUUCCUACUCUGCUCCAUUUUUUGUUUUGCUUUGAGUUCUAAUUCAUUUUCUCAGUGUCCUUUUUUGGUUCUUAUGAUCUUUGUAUAAUUCACUUAAUGUAAGUCACAGUGAUAUCAGCAAGAUGAAAGUCAGUGAUCCCGCAUCAAAUGCCUCGUUGCUGUGGAGAAGGACCAAUCCACCACCUAAUGGCUAAUGUCACUAGAUCCAACUUGACCUCAUUCUCCUUCACCUUGAACGAGCUGACACCUGGAUUUCAGGAGAUGCUUCCUCCCACAGACUCAUAGCUCUAGGCUAGGACCGGACCAACGCUAUCUGGAGACUGGAGAAUGGUGAAUAUGAGAAGGCAGACUUAGAAAAACAACGGUUAGAAAGAAGGCAAAGAAUGGUUUGUACGUUACCAUUAACAUUUCACUGGUCCAUGAUGAUCUCUCUCUAGGCUGAUUUUUCAACCUGAAGUCAGAUUUUUGAAAAAUUUCGUUUCUUCAUUGAAGUCAGCUUAAGAGAAAAUUUUCAUCCGGACAACAUUGGAGUUGUUUACACAGAAUCUCGACACGGAGGAUCAAAAGCUAAUAUUCUGCUUGCAAGAGGGGCAUAGAACAAGAUGUCAGAAAGGUUUUUGGUUAAAUUUUUUGUUUGUAAGAAUGUGUAGUCUUUAUCUCAGAGGUCCUCCUUUUGGUAGAUUGUCUCUGUAAAGUCGUAUCUUAGUCUAUUUCCUUCUCUACCUCUCUCGUUAAUAGCUGAGAUUAAUGUUAGACUGCUUUCUCAUACAUUUGGGACAAGUUCAUUGUGAUCCAUUUGUAUCUUGUUAAAAGAACAUAUGUGAGGAAUAAAUAUGGGUCAAUUAGCCCAACGGAA